rnacentral:tRNA from 1 species
GUAGCUCAGUGGUAGAGCACCAAAAAAAUUGAAGUCGGGGGUUCGAGUCCCCUCCAGUCCA